CCACACACAAUUCCACAAGCAGCCCUCAUACACAGCCCACAUUCAUAUGUAUCAUACACAAUACCAUAAACUACUAAUGAACAUAUACAAUAUAAUAGCUCAUAUACGCCCAAAUACAACGAUACAAAGCAAUUACAGUAAAAAUAACACAAGCAGAAUAUGGCAGCAUACAUACCUCAAUUUAAAAAAAUAGGACCGGCACGCUACGGGACA